GUGAGAAUUUUCGCCCAGGUUAUGAUUGGGUCUGCGCUUGCGAGUGAGAGACGUUACGUGCGUAGAGAUGGGUGUAGGCUGUAGGCCUACGUAGAGUUGGUGACUUGUGGUUCACCUAUGAGGUCAAGAUGAACGAUAGGCGAGUAGCCUUAUCGAUGAGUUUAGGCUUGGAUUCACGAGCGGGAGUUCGUGUGAAUUCAUUGCGAGAGUUGAACUUCGCUCAAGAUCGACUAAUUGUCAAGUGGAAGUGCUUUGUACAAGCCGAAGAAGUUGAGUGCACC
rnacentral:lncRNA from 1 species